CAGCUGACGCGUUGCCUACUAUCGUUCUUCGCCUGCAGGACGGCAUGGAUGAAUUCAGGCCAGAUGACACAACUCAAAUUGAGGAAGGGAGCGAAUCGAAUGCAGCCCUGCUGCAGCUUCAGGACGCGCUUGUGAGCGCGCUAACGGCAUCUGGGGCACUUGGAAAGAUACGGGCUCAACUGCGCGCCACUGCCCUGGCGUUGAUUCGCGGUGACGAUGAGCUUCAAAACGCCGCUGUUGGUCCUUUCAUACGACCGCUGACACUCACCACCCAUGCCAAGGUAUGCCUGCUGCUGCUCCACGACUUUCUUCAGCACUACCAUCUCCAGCAGACUGCUGGUGUGCUUGACGUGGAGAGCAGUCUGCAUCUUCUUUUCAAUGAGCGCUCCGCCCUUCUCGGUGAUCUGGCACGAUUGCCGGGCGACGGGUCCCUGCUGGAGCGACUAGUUCAGCUGUACGAGCCGACGAGACAGAUCCCGGGCGUCGGCUCAUCGAAUGCCACUGCCGUGACAACUGCGUCGCAGGCCACGGUCAGCAUCCCGGCGGCAAAGCCACCGGCCUCUCCCGUCGCUUCCUCGUCUAGCUCGGCCUCACAGGAACAGACCGUUGCCCUGGCACAACCGCAAGAUGCGGAUGUGCAGUACGAACUGGACAGGUACGAGGACUCCAUUCCCUUUUCCGACGCUGAAGGCACGAUGGAUGGAUACGCCCACUGCGAAGAAGUGGAGCGUCUCACGCAGUAACUAGAGAGCUUCUUCUCUUUCCUUGACCGGCACAUCGUGUAUGCUGUUGCUCUUGUCUGUGCCCGCAUGUAGCCGCAGUGCAGUGGACGUGGAAGUGAGUUUUGUGUGUGUGCGUGGCGUUCCCUCUUUUUCCUCUGUCGCCUACUGCCGAUUUUGUUUCGCUUUCUUAUUUUCUUGCGCCGACGCCUGCGUACUUCUCGCUAACGAGUUCCCCAGGUGACUCACUGAAUACAGAGAGCCGCCAGCUCUCGUCAAGGACAAAGUGCCACAACACGUGCGGAGAAGGGCAAUACGGCGACAAUGAGGACGCCUACAAGUGGCGAAUAGAUUGUUGCGAGAAAGAGGGGGAAGGGAGUUGAGGUGGUGAUAGCCUGUACUGAAUUGAGUGUUGCUACCCGCUGGAGCAAGCGAAAACACCCUUUUUUAAACAGAUUAGUCAGGAUAGGCAGCGAAGUAUCGACUGGCAACAACUCUGUCUCUCAUUUGCAUCCACUUUAGUCGCUUG
rnacentral:misc_RNA from 1 species